rnacentral:misc_RNA from 1 species
GAAAGUAAAAGUCGUAACAAGGUCUCCGUUGGUGAACCAGCGGAGGGAUCAUUACCGAGUUUACAACGCCCAAACCCAAUGUGAACCAUACCAAACUGUUGCCUCGGCGGGGUCACGCCCCGGGUGCGUCGCAGCCCCGGAACCAGGCGCCCGCCGGAGGGACCAACCAAACUCUCUCUGUAGUCCCCUCGCGGACGUUAUUUUUACAGCUCUGAGCAAAAAUUCAAAAUGAAUCAAAACUUUCAACAACGGAUCUCUUGGUUCUG